GACAGAGGGUGCAAACGUUGUUCGGAAUUACUGGGCGUAAAGCGUGUGUAGGCGGCUUCGUAAGUCGGAUGUGAAAGCCCCGGGCUCAACCCGGGAAGUGCACUCGAUACUGCGGAGCUCGAGUACUGGAGAGGUUGGUGGAAUUCUCGGUGUAGAGGUGAAAUUCGUAGAUAUCGAGAGGAACACCGGUGGCGAAGGCGGCCAACUGGACAGAUACUGACGCUGAGACACGAAAGCGUGGGGAG
rnacentral:rRNA from 1 species